CGUAGGGUGCAAGCGUUAAUCGGAAUUACUGGGCGUAAAGCGUGCGCAGGCGGUUUGUAAGACAGGCGUGAAAUCCCCGGGCUCAACCUGGGAAUUGCGCUUGUGACUGCAAAGCUGGAGUGCGGCAGAGGGGGAUGGAAUUCCGCGUGUAGCAGUGAAAUGCGUAGAUAUGCGGAGGAACACCGAUGGCGAAGGCAAUCCCCUGGGCCUGCACUGACGCUCAUGCACGAAAGCGUGGGGAGCAAACAGGAUUAGAUACCCUGGUAGUCCACGCCCUAAACGAUGUCAACUGGUUGUUGGGUCUUUACUGACUCAGUAACGAAGCUAACGCGUGAAGUUGACCGCCUGGGGAGUACGGCCGCAAGGUUG
rnacentral:rRNA from 1 species